GACGAACGCUGGCGGCGUGCCUAAUACAUGCAAGUAGAACGCUGAAGCGAGGAGCUUGCUCUUCUUGGAUGAGUUGCGAACGGGUGAGUAACGCGUAGGUAACCUGCCUUGUAGAGGGGGAUAACUAUUGGAAACGAUAGCUAAUACCGCAUAACAAUGGAUGACACAUGUCAUUUAUUUGAAAGGGGCAAUUGCUCUACUAUAUGAUGGACUUUCGUUGUCUUAACUAAUAGGUGAGGUAACGGCUCACCUAGGCGACGAUACAUAGCCGACCUGAGAGGGGGAGCGGCCACACUUGGACGGAGACACCGCCCAGACUCCCACGGGAGGCAGCAAGAGGGAAACUUCGGCAAUGGGGGCAACCCCGACCGGGCAACGCCGCGGGAGUGAAGAAGGGUUUCGGGUCGUAAAGCUCGGUUGUAAGGCAAGAACGAGUGUGAGAGUGGAAAGUUCACACUGUGACGGUAGCUUACCAGAAAGGGACGGCUAACUACGUG
rnacentral:rRNA from 1 species